CGCUAUCUGGAUCAACGAACGGCAGGUGCUUGUGACGCCGUCGACAAAGCCGUCAACGGCUGAAGUACGAGCGUCACGUUGCGAGUUUACGCGCACGUUCAUUUCACUUCCGCCGUCGGUUAAACGCACGAGCGAGCGUAGGAAAGAAAGAAAAUAACGUUCUUUGAGAAAAGAUAAUAUCAGGCAUUCGCAGAGCGGUGGCUGUCGGCUCGCCCCACCGCGGCGCGGUUUGCGCGCGCUCGGCCGCCAUUGGUCCGUUCGAACCGGCGCUCUGCCCUUCCCGCCUCACGCGCAGCGUCUAGAUUUUUAGAUUUCAAAUCUCGACCGUUUAUUUCGCGGUGAGCGUCCGUAGCGCGCGGUCGUGUUACGUCACCGGAUACGCGCGUUCUAAUUUCAAUAUUGUUUAAAAAACACGGCAACGUGCUCGUUAUUGUUCGGUUCGGUGCAACGUGACAUCGAGAACGAUUAGUGCGUGCAGUGCGACGUACCUAUCCCGGGAUAUCGCCGCGCCGGUCAAAGGUCAAUUUCUUUCGAUGAGUGGAGGUUUAGUGCAUGUCUUUACAUCAUGACUAGAUCCACACUCAUCCAUGGAAGUUGCGAUGUUCUACAUACAGCGAGGACUCGAGCGCGAUGGCGGCUCGGUGAUUAUGGCCGGCUAUCAUUACCGGUGCCGUACUAAUGAUACGUUGAGCGCAGGUACGCAACUCGCGGAGGUAAUCGGCGUCUACCUGCGCGCUUCUCGCGGCAACCGAAAUGUCGUUACACGACCCGUUUUAACUAUUGCUUGCCCAAAAGCGGAAAGGGCGCGGCUAAUAGCGGCGCAAGCGCAUCUGCUCCUUCUAAGAAAGGCUAUUGUGGCGGGUCUCGCAGUGGUCAGUGAGCUGACGUCACGGGUUGGGGCCGACAACCUGACGCUGACAAACGUCCCCUCACCCCUCAAUUGCGUGCAAAUUACCAUACACAUCCGACGGAAUGCAAA